UACAGAGGUCCCAAGCGUUGUUCGGAUUCAUUGGGCGUAAAGGGUGCGUAGGCGGCGCGGUAAGUCGGGUGUGAAAUCUCGGGGCUUAACUCCGAAACUGCAUUCGAUACUGCCGUGCUUGAGGACUGGAGAGGAGACUGGAAUUUACGGUGUAGCGGUGAAAUGCGUAGAUAUCGUAAGGAAGACCAGUGGCGAAAGGCGGGGUCUCUGGACAGUUACUGACGCUCAGGCACGAAAGCAUGGGGAGCAAAAGGG
rnacentral:rRNA from 1 species